GGGCCAGUAGCUUAGUGGUUAAAGCACCGCCCUUAUAAGACGGGGAUCGAUGGUUCGAUUCCAUCCUGGCCCACCA
rnacentral:tRNA from 1 species